ACCAGACUCCUACGGGAGGCAGCAGUGGGGGAUAUUGCACAAUGGGGGGAACCCUGAUGCAGCGACGCCGCGUGGGUGAAGAAGCGCCUCGGCGCGUAAAGCCCUGUCAGCAGGGAAGAAAAUGACGGUACCUGAAGAAGAAGCCCCGGCUAACUACGUGCCAGCAGCCGCGGUAAUACGUAGGGGGCAAGCGUUAUCCGGAUUUACUGGGUGUAAAGGGGGCGCAGACGGCGAUGCAAGCCAGGAGUGAACGCCCGGGGCCCAACCCCGGGACUGCUCUUGGAACUGCGUGGCUGGAGUGCAGGAGGGGCAGGCGGAAUUCCUGGUGUAGCGGUGAAAUGCGUAGAUAUCAGGAGGAACACCGGUGGCGAAGGCGGCCUGCUGGACUGCAACUGACGUUGAGGCCCGAAAGCGUGGGGAGCAAACAGGAUUAGAUACCCCCGUAAA
rnacentral:rRNA from 1 species